rnacentral:sRNA from 1 species
UUUUUUUUUUUUUUUUUUCCCCGGUAGGUCGCCAGCUGAGGCGGUUUGUAAGUUUUGGGUCUCAGUAUGCUAGAAUUUUGAGGCUCCCUUCUGAUGAAAAUUGAGCUGUCCAUGCAGCCAUGGAACCUGGGUUACAGCAGUGAGGGGGCCACGGCUCAAGGCCGGGCGCAGUGGCUCACACCUGUAAUCCCAGCACUUUGGGAGGCCGAGGCGGGCGGAUCAUGAGAAACUUACACAUGUCCAAAAAUGAUUGAGAUAGAGCAGGCGGAGGCCCAGCUUGCUGAGUUAGACCUGCUAGCCAGUAUGUUCCCUGGUGAGAAUGAGCUCAUAGUGAAUGACCAGCUGGCUGUAGCAGAACUGAAAGAUUGUAUUGAAAAGAAGACAAUGGAGGGGCGAUCUUCAAAAGUCUACUUUACUAUCAAUAUGAACCUGGAUGUAUCUGAUGAAAAAAUGGCGAUGUUUUCUUUGGCCUGUAUUCUUCCCUUUAAAUACCCGGCAGUUCUGCCUGAAAUUACUGUCAGAUCAGUAUUAUUGAGUAGAUCCCAGCAGACUCAGCUGAACACAGAUCUGACUGCAUUCCU